GAUGAACGCUGGCGGCGUGCUUAACACAUGCAAGUCGAACGGAAAGGCCCAAGCUUGCUUGGGUACUCGAGUGGCGAACGGGUGAGUAACACGUGGGUGAUCUGCCCUGCACUUCGGGAUAAGCCUGGGAAACUGGGUCUAAUACCGGAUAGGACGAUGGUUUGGAUGCCAUUGUGGAAAGUUUUUUCGGUGUGGGAUGAGCUCGCGGCCUAUCAGCUUGUUGGUGGGGUAAUGGCCUACCAAGGCGUCGACGGGUAGCCGGCCUGAGAGGGUGUACAGCCACAUUGGGACUGAGAUACGGCCCAGACUCCUACGGGAGGCAGCAGUGGGGAAUAUUGCACAAUGGGCGCAAGCCUGAUGCAGCGACGCCGCGUGGGGGAUGACGGCCUUCGGGUUGUAAACUCCUGUCGCUAGGGACGAAGCGUUUUUGUGACGGUACCUGGAGAAGAAGCACCGGCUAACUACGUG
rnacentral:rRNA from 1 species